rnacentral:rRNA from 1 species
AACGAACGCUGGCGGCAGGAUUAACACAUGCAAGUCGAGCGCCCGGCAAGGGGAGCGGCAGACGGGUGAGUAACGAGUGGGAAUCUACCAAUCUCUACGGAAUAACGCAUGGAAACGUGUGCCAAUACCGUAUACGUCCUUCGGGAGAAAGAUUUAUCGGUGAUGGAUGAGCCCGCGUUGGAUUAGCUAGUUGGUGGGGUAAAGGCCUACCAAGGCGACGAUCCAUAGCUGGUCUGAGAGGAUGAUCAGCCACACUGGGACUGAGACACGGCCCAGACUCCUACGGGAGGCAGCAGUGGGGAAUAUUGGACAAUGGGCGCAAGCCUGAUCCAGCCAUGCCGCGUGAGUGAUGAAGGCCCUAGGGUUGUAAAGCUCUUUCUCCGGUGAAGAUAAUGACGGUAACCGGAGAAGAAGCCCCGGCUAACUUCGUGCCAGCCGCCGCCGUAAUAC